CUGCUGGCCACGCCCCUUCCCGCCCCUCUCAGUGUAGGCGUGUCACACCAAAAACAGACCAGCUCAGGGGGCGUGGUUCAGCGGCAGAUCAGACAAAA